UUGUUUUUCUUGUUUAUGCUUUGAUAUAAGUCACACUUUUGCCCCACACAACAAGUAAGCGACUGUAUCACCUACCUCAUCUUGAUGUUGCGUUUGGUCCUUUCGGCAAUUGUUUGAGUACACUAUCACUAUACACCCCUUAGGCACUCCCAUCUAUGCUACUUUCCCCUCUCCCCCAUCUUGUCAACUUAAGACCGGGAAGACAAGAUGCACCAAUGAUCCAC
rnacentral:lncRNA from 1 species